CGGCCAUCUUGGCUCCUCCCCUAGGUGCAACUGAAGGAACAGAGAAACUGUGUAAUUGUAAAACCUCCUUGUGGCCCCACAUGGCUCAUACUCAAAUGAUUCCAGUGUCUAUGGCCUGAGAAGUGCUUCAUGAAAUGAGGAACAGUGCCUCAAGUCAGAGAUUGGCAUGGUGAGUCGCCGGGAGGUGGAAAAGAGGCACAGCUUCAUUGAAGCUACAGUUGGCUGCAAGGAACCAUUUCAAAUCAUCUUAGUUCUACGGGGCCAUUCAGGUGGCAAAGGCCCAGGUAACAUUUGAUCAAGUUGCUACAGGGCUUGGACCUACUUUUAUUGCCCCUUACUUUUCCCACUAACAUUUUUGCUUGAAAUAUCGAUGUUUUUUUGGUGCAGCAAAACUCUUUUCCCACAGCUAAAUUGAAGUAGGGCAUAUGUGCUUCCCUCACCUCGCUCCCAGUCCCUCUUGACCCCGAAAUGGUCUAGCAGCCUGUGCUUUGUUAAACUGAAAAUGUGUAGAAAUUUUUAUAGAGAUAUUCAGCUAUAUAAAUAGCUUUGAAAUUUGUCAUAACUUUAAAAACAGGUCAAAAAGGAAAUUGAACAGCUAGUGAGUUUCUGUCUUAGUCCGUUUUGUGCUGCUAUAACAGAAUACCAUAAACUAGGUAAUUUAUAAACAAUAGAAGUUUAUUUGUCUCAAUGGCCAACAAGCAUAUGGAAAAAUGUUCAACAUCACUAAUUAUCAGGGAAAUACAAAUCAAAACCACAGUGCGAUACCACGUAACUUCUGCAAUAAUGGUCAUAAUCAAAAAAUAAUAAUAAAUAAAUAGAUGUUGGCAUGGAUAUGGUGAAAAGGGAACACUUUUACUGGGUUGGUGGGAAUGUAAACUAGCACAACCACUAUAGAAAACAGUAUGGAGACUCCUUAAAGAACUAAAAGUAGACCUACCAUUUGACCUAGCAACCCCACUGCUAUGUAUCUGCUCAGAAGUAAAGAAGUCAUUAUACAAAAAAGACACUUGUUACAUGCAUGUAUAUAGCAGUACAAUUGCCCAAAUGCCCAUCAAUCAAUGAGUGGAUAAAAAAUGUUAUAUACAUACAUAUAUGUGUGUGUAUAUAUACAUAUACAUAUACACACACACACACAUACACACACACACACACACACACACACAUAUACCAUGGAAUACUGCUCAGCCAAAGAAAGGAAUGAAAUAAUGGGAUUUGCAGCAACCUGGAUGGAAUUGGAGGCUAUUAUUCUAAGUGAAGUAACUCAGGAAUAGAUAACCAAACAUACAUGUUCUCACUCAUAUGUGGGAACUAAGCUAUGAGAAUGCAAAGGCAUAAGAAUGAUAUAUUGGAGUUUGGAGACUCAAAGGAAAGAGUGGGGGAGAGGGAGGGAUAAAAGACUACACAUUGGGUACAGUAUACAAUGCUUGAGUGAUGGGUGCAACAAAAUCUCAGAAAUCCCCACUAAUGAGCAUAUUCAUGUAACAAAAUACCAUCUGUUCCCCAAAACUUAUUGAAAUAAAAAAUAAAAAAUUAAUGAUAAUAACAAUAAAAAGAAGUUUAUUUGUCUUAUGUUUCUGGAGGCCAGGAAGUCCAAGAUCAAGGGGUUGCAUCUAGUGGGGGUCUUCUUGCUGAGUCAUAACCUGGCAGAAGACAUCACAUGAAGAGAGAAUGGAUGAGAGCCAGCAAGCAAGAGAGGGCCAAACUUGCUUUUAUAACAAACCCAUUCCUGACAUCAUGAACUUACCCCUGCCAUAAUGACAUUAAUCCAUUCCAGGGGGCAAAGCUCUCAUGACCUAAUCACCUCUCAAAAGUGCCACCUCUCGAUGCUGUUGCAUUGGGGAUUAAGUUUCCAACACAUGAACUCUGGGGAGAUGCAUUCAAACCUUAGCAGUUUAA
rnacentral:lncRNA from 1 species